GAGCUUAGCCAUACAGUAAAAGCACUAGAUCCCAUCUGAUCUUGGAAGCUAAGUAAAUCUAACUCUGAUUGUUCUUUGAUGAAAAACCACCAAUGAAUACAAGGUGCUGUAAACU
rnacentral:rRNA from 1 species